rnacentral:rRNA from 1 species
AGCGAACGCUGGCGGCAGGCUUAACACAUGCAAGUCGAGCGGGCCCUUCGGGGUCAGCGGCAGACGGGUGAGUAACACGUGGGAACGUACCCUUUGGUUCGGAAUAACGCUGGGAAACUAGCGCUAAUACCGGAUACGCCCUUUUGGGGAAAGGCUUGCUGCCGAAGGAUCGGCCCGCGUCUGAUUAGCUAGUUGGUGGGGUAAUGGCCUACCAAGGCGACGAUCAGUAGCUGGUCUGAGAGGAUGAUCAGCCACACUGGGACUGAGACACGGCCCAGACUCCUUCGGGAGGCAGCAGUGGGGAAUAUUGGACAAUGGGCGCAAGCCUGAUCCAGCCAUGCCGCGUGAGUGAUGAAGGCCUUAGGGUUGUAAAGCUCUUUUGUCCGGGACGAUAAUGACGGUACCGGAAGAAUAAGCCCCGGCUAACUUCGUG